GCGGGACGACGGGGAACUCCGGGGCGGUAACCACACGCGCUUCCCCUGACCGCGGCCUGGCCAGCCCUCCCCGCCCCCACCCCGGGGGAUUUCCGCGACCCCGGGCACCACCCCGCCGGGCGGCCUUUCAGAGAGCCGGCGCCGCGCGCUCGCGCCCGGGCAGCGGCCGCGUGCUCGGGGUCGGCCCGGUCGCGCGUCCCCGCCGGCGGUCGCAGGAGCGAGGGCGCGGGCGGAAGCGCGGGUUCCCCGUGGGCCUAGCUGCAGUGCCUGGGGCGGCGGCGUGGCCUUCUUCGUUUCCGGUAGCGAGGAAGGCUUUACACCUGGGGUGAGACGCUAUUUUACAAGCCAAGAUGGGUGAGCACGAAGCCUUCUCUUCAAGAAGAGAGCCCCACGGUGAACAGGUUGGUGACAAGGCGGGACAGCCUGGCCCCCUUCGCAGCUCUGGUUUUCAGGCUGAUCGGGUUUAGGAAGAGCCCCCUGUGGACUUGAAGCACCAGGCUGUCAAUUCCUUUAACACUGAGUUCCCACUUGCCUGGGGCUAAUCUUUGUGAAGACGUGGUGAGCCUGCCCAAGGGAGUACCUGUCCCAACUGAACGACCAGCGGCCUGAGGAAUCCCAGUGGGACUGGCUUUCCCAGGUGCUUCGGGCACAAUGAGAGUGGAGAGGAGACCUACCUGCCAGGCCCCGGAGUGCAUCGCCACGUCUCCUCCGCAACAUUUCACGCAACUUUAACGAUGGAUUUUUUAAAAAUGCUUACUUAUUUAUUUUAGGAGAGACAGCGAGAGAGAGAAAAUGGGCAGGGGAGGGGCAGAGAGAGAGAGGAAGAGAGAGAGAACCCCAACCAGGCUCUGUACUGUCAGCACGGAUGUGGGGCUCGAGCCCACAAACCAUGAGAUCAUGACCUGAGCUGACAGAAAGAAUCAGAUGCUUAACUUCCUGAGCCACCCAGGCUCCCCAGUGAUUGAUGUUUUAAAAAUAAUUGUUUUCCUAUAAUCUAAGGUGCACAGGAGCAAGGCUGCAUGUAUUUUGUUCAGCACACUAUUCUAGUACAAUCAGGGUACCUGUAAAUAGGGAGUGUUCAAUAAACCUCUGCUGACUGAAUGACAAAAA